UGAGUCGGUUGAAAGGUCGAAGAUUCAUUCUAGUUUCUUCCUUGCACAAGCAAACAUCUUCCACGGCAAUUCUUCUCUCCCGGAAUCAGGAUGCAGUGGCGCAUUUUGUUAUUUUUCGCUUUAGCUAUCGUUUUUUGUUUUGUGAUUGAACCAGGCGAAGCUAAUCGUCAGCCGAUCUUUGUCAAACACCAAACUACUACACCACGUUACAACAGGAAACAAGUAGCCCUAGCUCCAAGUCGUGGUUGUCCUACUGGACAUUUGUUGGAUAAGAACGGCAUCUGCAGGAUGAUAUGGCUUGGAUGAAUAUUCACAAAAGCGAACAAUCAGUCAGCAGUCUGCGGUUUACGCUCGACUGUUUGGAAAAAAUGCACGCACGUCCUCAUGCAUAAUGAAUGACUGAGACUUACGCCAAUCUAAAAAUACUGAGGAGGAAAGACGUAUGUAAUCGUAUUGGAAGCUAUUCGUCUUUGGUUUUUUUCGCAAGUUGAAAAUACACGAUAAAUAUACUAUUAAUAAAAUCA